rnacentral:rRNA from 1 species
UAGCAAUACGGAGCGGCAGACGGGUGAGUAACACGUGGGAACGUACCCUUUGGUUCGGAACAACCCAGGGAAACUUGGGCUAAGACCGGAUACGCCCUUUUGGGGAAAGAUUUAUCGCUGAGAGAUCGGCCCGCGUCUGAUUAGCUAGUUGGUGAGGUAAAGGCUCACCAAGGCGACGAUCAGUAGCUGGUCUGAGAGGAUGAUCAGCCACAUUGGGACUGAGACACGGCCCAAACUCCUACGGGAGGCAGCAGUGGGGAAUAUUGGACAAUGGGCGCAAGCCUGAUCCAGCCAUGCCGCGUGAGUGAUGAAGGCCUUAGGG